rnacentral:lncRNA from 1 species
AUUAAUCUACGGAUAGUGAUUGGAUGAUGUAACUACCUAGAGUUAUGCAUCCAUACAUCAGUAAUAAGUUGAUACAUCCUAAUGUGAUGUCUAUGGUGUAAUGAAUUUGUGUAGAUUCCAUAGUAGUAUAGAUUGAGAAAGAUUUACCGAUUAAGAUGAAUCAGAGUAUGUCAUCGUGGAAAGAAAUUUCAAGUAUAUGUUAUGAACGAAAGUAUGGA